CCUACGGGUGGCUGCAGUGGGGAAUAUUGCACAAUGGGCGCAAGCCUGAUGCAGCCAUGCCGCGUGUGUGAAGAAGGCCUUCGGGUUGUAAAGCACUUUCAGCGUGGAGGAAGGCGGUGAGGUUAAUAACCUCAUCGAUUGACGUUACCCGCAGAAGAAGCACCGGCUAACUCCGUGCCAGCAGCCGCGGUAAUACGGAGGGUGCAAGCGUUAAUCGGAAUUACUGGGCGUAAAGCGCACGCAGGCGGUCUGUCAAGUCGGAUGUGAAAUCCCCGGGCUCAACCUGGGAACUGCAUUCGAAACUGGCAGGCUAGAGUCUUGUAGAGGGGGGUAGAAUUCCAGGUGUAGCGGUGAAUUGCGUAGAGAUCUGGAGGAAUACCGGUGGCGAAGGCGGCCCCCUGGACAAAGACUGACGCUCAGGUGCGAAAGCGUGGGGAGCAAACAGGAUUAGAUACCCGUGUAGUC
rnacentral:rRNA from 1 species